rnacentral:rRNA from 1 species
GACGAACGCUGGCGGCGUGCUUAACACAUGCAAGUCGAACGUGAUUUUUGUGGAAAGCUCUUCGGGGACGGAAGCGAAAUGAAAGUGGCGAACGGGUGAGUAACACGUGAGCAACCUACCUUACACAGGGGGAUAGCCGUUGGAAACGACGAUUAAUACCGCAUGAGACCACAGUACUGCAUGGUAUAGGGGUCAAAGAUUGAUCGGUGUAAGAUGGGCUCGCGUCUGAUUAGCUAGUUGGAAGGGUAAAGGCCUACCAAGGCAACGAUCAGCAGCCGGUCUGAGAGGAUGAACGGCCACAUUGGAACUGAGACACGGUCCAAACUCCUACGGGAGGCAGCAGUGGGGAAUAUUGCACAAUGGGGGGAACCCUGAUGCAGCGACGCCGCGUGAGCGAAGAAGGUUUUCGAAUCGUAAAGCUCUGUCCUAUGAGAAGAUAAUGACGGUAUCAUAGGAGGAAGCCCCGGCUAAAUACGUGCCAGCAGCCGCGGUAAUACGUAUGGGGCGAGCGUUGUCCGGAAUUAUUGGGCGUAAAGGGUACGUAGGCGGCCUUUUAAGUCAGGUGUGAAAGCGUGAGGCUUAACCUCAUUAAGCACUUGAAACUGGAAGGCUUGAGUGAAGGAGAGGAAAGUGGAAUUCCUAGUGUAGCGGUGAAAUGCGUAGAUAUUAGGAGGAAUACCGGUGGCGAAGGCGACUUUCUGGACUUUUACUGACGCUCAGGUACGAAAGCGUGGGGAGCAAACAGG